UAUAAACCUUUCUGUCUGUCUCUCGGACAUUUGCAACAUUGUUUCAAUAUUCAAAUUCGAUCUCAUACUGUCCCAUAGUGUCGGGAGUCGGGACGAGACAGACAGGCAGCGUUUCUCAGCCAGUCGAAAUCAUGAAUCAGUUGGCAUAAUUUUACGGAUAUAUGCAACAAAAAAAUCAAUUGUUUUUUUUUAAAAACAAAACGCAGCUAAUUUUCAUUCUUUCCAGCUUCAGUUUGAAGAUGUGUUGUUCCUGACGAGUGAGCACAUUUUCUAUGCCAGGCGAAAUCGCGCCUCAUCUAAUUAACUUAUCCCCUGCAGCAGAGAUUCAAGUUCAGCAUCCGCUUCCGCCAUCGUCCUGGAGUCCAUCCACCUUCCAUAGUCUUCCAGGAGGCUGAUAAUAUCCUCAAAAAGUUCUACAACUGCACCAUUGAGCAUCUUGACUGGCUGCAUCGUCGCUUGAAAUGGUAACUGCUCGGGGCCGAACUACCUGCCAUCCAGGACCUCUAUACCAGGCGGUGUCAGAGGAAGACCCUAAAAAUUGUCAGACUCCAACCACCCAUGUCAUAGACUGUUCUCUCUGCUACCGCACGGCAAGCGAUACCGGAGCACCAAGUCUGUGACCAGAAGGCACCUGAGCAGCUCCUACCCUCAAGCCAUAAGACUGCUUAAUCAAAUGGCUACCUGGACAAUUUACUUUACACUGACCCCCUCUAAUAUUUAUGCUCGUAAGCAUUUCAUUGUAAAGUCUACACCUGUUGUAUUUGAUGCAUUUGACCAAUACAAUUUGAUUUGAUUUGA